GUGUAUGAGGUAAAUCUCCGGGCCACGCAAUUUGGUAAAUUCCACAGAGAAAAUGCGGGGAGAGAUUAUUCUGAUUCACAUGGGAAUUGUGUCAUUUAAUCGAGAAUUGCUGUGUAUGGCAAACUGCUGUGCUUGGGUUUUGUCUUGUUGAUGAAGACUUUGAUAGCGCCAUUGAAAUCUGCACUGACAAGCACAUAGCCACAACCCUUCUUAUGCUGCUCCACCAGCGGAUCAGGAACAGUCGGCUGGGCCUGGAAAAGCAUCAAAAACAGAAACAUUGAAACGUCUUUUUUUAAAGAAUAUAGAAUUACAAUUGUUGACAUGAAAACCUUAAAAAUAAAUCUUAAAAAUGACUCAACUCCAA